rnacentral:rRNA from 1 species
CCUACGGGUGGCAGCAGUGGGGAAUAUUGCGCAAUGGGCGAAAGCCUGACGCAGCGACGCCGCGUGAGGGAGGAAGGUCUUCGGAUCGGAAACCUCUGUCAGCAGGGAAGAACGGUCAGGGAGCUAAGCAGCAGUGAAUGGACGGUACCUGCAAAGGAAGCACCGGCUAACUCCGUGCCAGCAGCCGCGGUCCUACGGAGGGUGCGAGCGUUAAUCGGAAUUACUGGGCGGAAAGCGCUCGUAGGCGGUAUGUCAAGUCAAGGGUGAAAUCCCCGCGCUCAACGUGGGAACUGCCUUUGAAACUGGCAACCUGGAGUGUGUGCGAGGCUAGUGUAAUUCCUGGUGU